CCAAAGAAUAAGGACCGGCUAACUCCGUGCCAGCAGCCGCGGUAAUACGGGGGGUCCGAGCGUUAAUCGGAAUUACUGGGCGUAAAGGGUCUGUAGGUGGUUUGUUAAGUCAGAUGUGAAAGCCCAGGGCUCAACCUUGGAACUGCAUUUGAUACUGGCAAACUAGAGUAUGGUAGAGGAAUGGGGAAUUUCUGGUGUAGCGGUGAAAUGCGUAGAGAUCAGAAGGAACACCAAUGGCGAAGGCAACAUUCUGGACCAAUACUGACACUGAGGGACGAAAGCGUGGGGAUCAAACAGGAUUAGAUACCCUGGUAGUCCACGCUGUAAACGAUGAGUACUAGCUGUUGGAUUCGGUGUAAAGGAUCUAGUGGCGUAGCUAACGCGUUAAGUACUCCGCCUGGGGACUACGGCCGCAAGGCUAAAACUCAAAGGAAUUGACGGGGACCCGCACAAGCGGUGGAGCAUGUGGUUUAAUUCGAUGCAACGCGAAGAACCUUACCUGGUCUUGACAUCCUGCGAACUUUCUAGAGAUAGAUUGGUGCCUUCGGGAACGCAGUGACAGGUGCUGCACGGCUGUCGUCAGCUCGUGUUGUGAAAUGUUGGGUUAAGUCCCGCAACGAGCGCAACCCCUAUUGAUAGUUACCAUCAUUAAGUUGGGUACUCUAUUGAGACUGCCGCUGACAAGGCGGAGGAAGGUGGGGACGACGUCAAGUCAUCAUGGCCCUUACGACCAGGGCUACACACGUGCUACAAUGGGUAUUACAGAGGGCAGCGAAGUAGCGAUAUGGAGCGAAACUCAGAAAGGUACUCUUAGUCCGGAUUGCAGUCUGCAACUCGACUGCAUGAAGUCGGAAUCGCUAGUAAUCGCAGGGCAGAAUACUGCGGUGAAUACGUUCCCGGGUCUU
rnacentral:rRNA from 1 species